rnacentral:rRNA from 1 species
GACGUAGGGGACGAGCGUUGUCCGGAUUCAUUGGGCGUAAAGCGCGCGUAGGCGGUUCGGUAAGUCGGGUGUGAAAACACGAGGCUCAACCUCGUGCGUGCAUCCGAUACUGCCGGACUAGAGGUAGGUAGGGGAGAUCGGAAUUCCUGGUGUAGCGGUGAAAUGCGCAGAUAUCAGGAGGAACACCGGUGGCGAAGGCGGAUCUCUGGGCCUUACCUGACGCUCAGGCGCGAAAGCUAGGGGAGCAAACAGG